UAUAGCCUUGGUUUCGUUUGGCAGCCGGCUUUUUGGGCCAGCAAGCCAGUCCAGCUUGGCCGCUCUUGAUCGGAGUUUUGUGCAGAUCCUCGUGAUGUGUGAGCUUAGGGUGAUUUGGACAGCUCCAAUGCAUCCACAAUCUGCAUCAGCUCAGGCAGUGUGACUGGUCUGAAGGGAAUCCUGGUUUCCUGGUCCGGUUGUAGCUGCUUCUGCCGUUUUGUCUGCUCACGCUCUCUGUUGAUUGCGGCCCGUUCUUCAUCUGAAUUGGACAGUAUCGGGCUGAAUCUCUCCUCCAGGAUUGUGAGCCCCUUGUUAAGACGAUUUUGCGCCGCCCUGUAGUUUCGUCUGGCUUCGAUGGUGCGGGUCGCCAGCCAGAUCCUCUUGCACUGCUGUUUGAUGGAGAGCAGCUCGCUUGUAGCCUCGUCCAGCUUGAGGUGAUGGUGCCGGUGAUGUUGCUGUGACCGCUGCUGAUGAUGAUGCUGACGCUGCUGUGGCCAUCUUCGAUGAGUGUUUGGAUGCUGCUGUUGGUGUUGUGUUGUUGCUGCUGCUGCUGCUACCCGUAUAUUGUUCAAAAACAAGUAAACGACGUCAUCAAUGUCCUGCGCUAUCCUAAUCUCGGUGUUGAGAUUGAUCAACCGUUCCAGCGACUUUUGGAACAGGCUGAUAUUGGCACGUGCUGGGAGCAGAUGUUUCCUGACUGUGGGCGUAGGAUGUCUACGUCCACCGCUGCCGAUCGUCAACUCCACCCUGAGCAGCAAGUGAUCAGAGUCCAAAUCCGAGCUUGAACGGAUACUCAGGGAUAGUGUGUGGCACCACCGGUGGCCAGCAAAUUGCAGCCGUUGUUGGUGUGUACAGCCUCCAUCAGUGCUUUCCCUCUGGCGCAUCCACGGGCAUUUCCCCACCACAUAUGCUUCGCGUUCCAGUCACCGCAUACAAGGAAGCCGGAUGCUGUUUCUUCGACGCAGAGUUCUUCAAAAUGUCUUAUCAAUCCAUGAAGACGAUGACAGGUGCACUCUGGAUGAAUGGCUUUGAAAUUGGCUGCAGAGCAGAGUGGGUGACAUCGUCCCGGACCAGGAUGGCUACUCCCCCUCUGCGAUCGUUUGCCGGAUUUUGUGCAGUGAAAACUUCGACCUCGUUCAACUUGUUAGUCACACCACACGCGUUCCAGAAGGCAAUUUUAAAAGUGUUGCCGUUCUGGCUGACGCUGUGGGUGGAAAUAGUCUGUACUGGAUUGACUUUUUGGUUUGACAGGCCGUUCGGGACUGGACUAAACAUAAAAGGCAUCAUUGGCGGAGGACAGGGCCAUGUCCAAAGAGUUUGGUGAACUGCUAUUUGUUGUUUUGCUUGUCUUAUUUGUAUUGAUGUUUAUUAAUUUGACUAUUGCAGAAAAUAGACUAUCG